rnacentral:rRNA from 1 species
GCUUGUCUCAAGAUUAAGCCAUGCAUGUCUAAGUACAAGCCUCAGUAAGGUGAAACCGCGAAUGGCUCAUUAAAUCACACCUAAUCUACUGGAAAGUUACUAGUUACUUGGAUAACUGAGGUAAUUCUUGAGCUAAUACAUGCGAAAAAUCUCGACUCACGGAGAGAUGCUUUUAUUAGAUCAAAACCAAACGGCUUCGGCCGUCUCAUUGGUGACUCUGAAUAACUUUGGGCUGAUCGUAUGGCCUUGUGCCGACGACGUUUCCUUCAAAUUUCUGCCCUAUCAACUUUCGACGGUAGGAUAGAGGCCUACUGUGGUGAUAACGGGUAACGAAGAAUAAGGGUUCGAUUUCGGAGAGGGAGCCUGAGAAACGGCUACCACAUCCAAGGAAGGCAGCAGG